GGGUCUCUGCGCCCCCUGCCUACCCCACUUCCCCCUCCAGUUCUCAGCUUCUCUUUGAAGUCCGAGAAGUGAGGAUGCGCCUCGUGGAUCGCAGCGGGGGAGGAAAGGGGAGAAGAGGGGAGUCAAGAUCUUGCUGUAUUGCCGAGGCUGGACUCAAACUCCUGGGCUCAAGUGAUUCUCCUGCCUCAGUCUCCUGAGUAGCUAAGACUACAGGCAUGUACCUCCAUGCCUAGCCCCUCUUACUGUUAAUUAUUGUCAUAUAACCACCCAUAAUGUCGCUUCUCACUUUCUGAAUUAUUGCUCUCCCCAUGUUGUAGCCUCUGAACCCGGAGAACCUUAUUUCUACAAUUAUGUGUAAAGUAAAAUCAGCGAAGUUCUUAAUGAGAAUCUCCCACCUGGUUAAAAUGUACAUGAUCUUUGUCACAUUUAUUUUGCCUCUUGCAGACUUCCUAGAUUCCAGCUAGGUCCCAGAAAAUGGAGAAGUUAUUAGAUGACCAAACUCUGGCUUCUGAGGGGUUAAUAUAGGAUGAUAAUUGACAUUCGUGAUGAUGAGUCCAAGAUGCCUACUGAAUCAUCAUGUGUAAAAUAAUAUUUACUGAACAUG
rnacentral:lncRNA from 1 species